rnacentral:lncRNA from 1 species
UAUGUUUUCUCAUGGCACGGCUCAUUUGAUAUAUCGCUUUGGCUACCGUACUAAUUCAACAUCUUUUUAUUCAGGCUAACCAAUUGCACUACAUUUUGCCAGUUGACGUUUGCAUACUAAACAAACAGAUACAUCAGCAGCGGUAAUCAAGGGUCAACAGUCUGAAGGAUUGUUUUAAAAGGCAACUGUAAACAGCGUUCAGGAUCAUAGACAGGGGACAGCAAGGAAAAAAGAAUGGUUGCGACAAUAACACGGAUUAUUUUACUCACAGUUUUUAUAACAUUGGGAUAUGCUAGGCCCCCGGCCAAGAACUGCGCGGACGGGCAAAUCUGGUUUCUUGAUGGUUCCUGGGAUUGCAAAUACUUAGAAACGCCGUCUUUAUUGGGUUUCCAUAGAAAUCCACUGCGUUGGUGUAGCGACAGAUUAUUUGAUUGUUGUGCUACGUGUGCCAGAAUAAGAAAUCACGGAUGAAAAAGAAACAACAUAUAGGACAAUGUCGGCUGAUUAUUAUUUGUAUUGGAGUAAAAUGUUGUGGAAUGAUUGUUUAUUGUUUAAAUUAUGCCUAAAACACCAAAUUUGCUCCAUGUUGUGUUAAAGCAAAUAUAUAUUACUUUCAGACAAACGUUAUGCAUGGUUAACAAAAAAUGAAAAGGACCAAAAAUAAUAACGUAUACUGCUAUAGUCAAAUUAAUUUAUUUACAUGCGUUAUUCUAAAAUGCCAACAAAUUUGAAACAAACAAUGCCGAUUUUAUGCACAGAUUUAUAACACCUUUUUUCAUAUUAGUUUAACACUGUAAUCGACAGUAACAGUUAAUACCUGUUGUCCAUAAGUUGGACUAGAAAGAGCUACGCAAAUUCGUCUCAUAGGUGACAGUUACGUUCUAAAAAAAAGCGUCCUCCACUGUGAAAGUACAUUAAUUCCUCGGUAUUGUCCGCUCCGUGUAGCUCAUGUGAACGCAAACGGAAGACUUGCACGAUAUAAGCUGUAACUGUCGUUAACUAGUAAAGUGUUAUAUAAAUUUCAACAUUGGCGCUAUAAAAUGUGUAUUAGAUCUUGUAUUUUUGUACCAUAUUCAAAUUUUGAAUAAUAUGGGCUAAUGGUUUGAUUCAAUAUAUGUAAUUCAUUAUCUUCUCUUGUCCUUUUCGGUUUUUGUUAAUAAUGUAAGACUUAUGUCUUUAGUAUAUUUCUUAAAGUUGACAUAUACUAAAGAAGAAAUACUUUGCGAAAUUUUUUUUUUGAAAUUUACACAGAACAAUAUUAUUUCGAUAAACAUAAUUAUAAGUGCCACGCUUUUUAAAAAAAAAAAAACCGAACAUUGACAUCAAAAUUACACUUAAUGUAGACCAAUCGUGUGAUCUAAAAAUCGUAAACGUAAUCUUUACUUUUUAUUGUUUUACAAAUGUAACAACUUUUGUCCAGCUCCUUUAAAGACAAACUAGUUUAACUAAAGACAUUUCCUUUUAGUUUGAUUAUUAGAAAAACGGGUAGUUCUAUUGAAAAAAAAUCCUUUUUAAGGUGUAGGCUCCUGCACCGAUAGGACCAACUGAUUAAAUCUUUGCAUGUAAGCUUGUAAGCUAGUAUACCACUUAAAACUCUACACCUUUGUACACUGUGGAAAACCUAAUAUGCUUUGCAAAUGUUCAAUAGCUCUACUUCUACAAGGCUAUUGCCCUAUCGCACACAGAAUCCAAACUGAAUUUAGUAUAUCCAAUGAAUAUACAUCCUCUCUUUAAAGAUAUUUUUGAAGUCCACUGCUAUAUUAAUGCAAGUAAAUUCACCAAAUGUUAAAUUCCAAACUUGUAAUAUUUUGAUAUGAAGAAAUACAGGAAAGUUUUUCAACAAGAUUUUGUUGAGGUUCUUUUUUGUCUUCAUACAGGUUCCUAUUUUAAGCAUCACUGAAGACUCCAAUCACCAAGAAUAAAAAGAAGAUUCUGGAAAAACUCGGAUAAAUCCAGAUAUUAAAUUAAUGAUAACACCCUGUUCAUCAGUAUUUAUGACAGAACCUUCUUGAAAACCAUAGAAUAUAAAUAACUUGUUGAUAUACAUGAUGUCUCAAAACUAGGGGACAGGCUACACCGUAAACAAUGGGUCAUCAAUAUCCAAAAUAAAAAAAUAACGUGAAUCAUAAUGGCGAAAGACAUGUACAUAACAGGUUAUAAACUGAUAACUCAAAAGCCACUAAUUUGAAUGUAAUGAAAUUUCAUACACUUACCACUAUGAUAAUCUGACGAACACGUCCUGUAACUCUCAAUUUUGACAGUUUUAUGUCCAUUUUCGACCUAGAAAUAUCGGUUGAGGUGUUUUUAUGUAACCUAGUGUCUCAAUAUUGGGAAUAUAAUGAAACGAAACGUUUGUUCAAUGUGAUAUUUUCAGCUUCAAUGUAAAAUUUACUGACGGAAUUGCGAGCAAUGCAGUCAAUGAACAGCCUGCACGACCGUGGCAUAGCUAUGAGUAAAAUUGUAAGAUAUUUUGAGUGAAAUAUAUUUUGAUGAACAAGUAAAACAAACAAAUUAGUUUAACUUCAUGGUUGACUAAAUUCACGCAUUCUAUUUCUUACCACUGAUAAAUGUAUUUAAUGUUUAUCAGUGUGGAAAUACCAAAUAUAUUUAUAUUUAAAUGAUUUACUGAAAAAAGAAACGUAAUAAAGGAGUGUACAUUGAAAAUGUGCAUGUUGCAUUUGUACUAUGAAAUACCUGAGGCUUUCAUCACUACGGCUUCGAAUCAUUUUAGCUGGAAAGUCGUCAUGUAAUUGAAAAUGCGUCGGUGUGACGUAAACCCUAACAAAUACGUGGUACCGUAUAGAUUAUACCAAAUUUUGUGCAAAGUGUUGCAUAUAUGAAUCGAUUAUGAUAUUUUAUGAUUAAUGAUGCGGUGAAGUAAAUCAGUGUAUGUGACUUAUGGUAUAACCCCCUAAUUAAUUUCGGAUAAAACAUGCUGUGAUGAUUAAUUGUAGAAUAAAUUAAGUCCCAGAUAAAUACAGCUGUUUCAGUACUUCAGGCAUCCAACAAUAAAAUCUGCUGCAUAUUUGGUAAAAACAUUUGUUGUUUUUUUUUUGCAUUCUGUCAACUGAAAUAAUUUGUGUCUUGUAUUAUUGCAGCAUACUUCAGUUUUGUAUAUGUAAAGCGCCUAAUGUUUAACUAUGAAAAUGGUGCUAUAUAGAUCUGAUAUGAUCAAUACAUAUAUAUGCGGAUGUUUAUGAUAAAAACCCUUAGAAGUGUACUUGUUUUGGGCGAUGUCCUUAACUAUAUGAAAUACUAAGGUAGAAUGUUGACCCCUAACAUGUGCUUUUGAGGGAAGAAAUAUCAAUUCUAUUAAUUUUCAGAGCAUAUCAUAUUCUAAUAUGUUAUUAAGAUAUGGCUCCCUUGACGAAAAAUAAGACAUCUAUUUCCAAAAAUUUGCAUAAAAUAAAAUUGUAAUAAAGUUGAGAAUGACAUUCUAGAAAAAGCAAAAUACUGCACAGAACAAAUGUCAAAGUGGAUUACUUAUCAUACUGUUUAUAAAUAUUUUCGACGAAUGAAAUUAUUUGUAAUGUUUUACUACCGUUAGCAAACAACAAACACUCUUGACUGUUCAACACGACAAUAUCAUGCAUGUAAAGACCUAUUAGCUUUAAAUAACAAGACAGACCAUGUCUGACACAUGUAAACUUAUGUUACAACAGGCUAUAUGUAAGCAAAAUGUGUGGAAUAUUCAAUAAACAUGAAACAAAUGUUAUGUUGUAUACUCAAAACUCUUUUUAGUUUUGAUCAAGAUGUAUGAAUAACAUGCAUAUAUAAUAGUACCGCUCUCUGUCAAUGAUGUUUUACAAUCAUCAAACACAGCCAAACAAAUAUCUGGUUCUGUUUUAUUUAGACUGUCCAUGAAAAAAGGCACAUUUUAUCAAAGUACCAUAAGGCUUUUAGUUUUAUGUAAAAAUCUGAUAAAACAGCUAUUCAAAUAGACGUUAUGCACGAUUACAUAGUUAGAAAAUCCCUGCUUUUAGUAUUACACAUGAAUUUAUAUAGAGUUAGAUUCAUAAAGGGAGGCAAUCAUACACAAUGGUUUCAAUAGUGUUUCCUACUAUGAUAAUCAAUAUUCAAAUUAUUGAUAAACACGUUCACAAAACAGAUUUAGCAACAAAAACAUAUUUUAUAUUCAUAAAAAAACCAGUGUGUCUGCAACAUUAUAAGCAAAUUUAUUAUAAGCCCUUAAAAAUAGAAUGCACAGCGCCGUUCAAAACACUCGGGCUUAAGUGGAACUCUAUUAUUGGUCAAUAUAUUCAAAUUUCCAAGUUGACCAAAUUGACUAUUUCUGACAUAACAUGAUUAUGUGACUAAAAUCAAGAAAUAAAAUGGGAAUUAUUGGUUAUGUAUGGAGAGAGGCGGAGGAGUGCAGAAACAGAAAUAUAUUUACAAAUAUGAAGUAAAUAAAAAUGGUAACUUAUCUGCAAUGAAUGCGAGUUAUUUUACUAUUGUGUUGAUCUGUAUCGCACCGAGUUGGUUGUAUUACAUUCCACAUCGCUGAGUAAAAUGACUGCAGUAUUAUUUUUAGUCUGUGUACAGACUCUGUGUUUUGUUCACAGGAGAUAACUCCUGAGGCUAUUCAAAUUUUGUAUAAUUAUGUCACUUGUCUUCUCAGAACACAGGAUAAUCAGAGCCAAGACUGAUGAAGUAAGAAUAUAUAACAUAAUUACAUUUUUCUAAAGAAAAUGAUUAAUAUCUAGUCGGUAGCCAGACUAUAUGUAUUAUUUUUAAAACCAGUACAAUCGAAUUCAAAUGUCAUGCUUUUUUUUAAAAAACAACAACACUGAUUUGAAUGCUACAACUAUGACACAAACAGAUGUAUCAUCACUGCAUAGUGGUCCGUGUAUCUCCAGGCUAAUUUAACAUUUUAUACACACAUGUGGUCUGUAUACAACAUGCAACAGCUUUUUGUUCUGAUUUAAUAGCUGAAUUUAUUUUGCCAUUUAUUGUUUUAUAUCAACUGAUCAAGUAAGCAAAGAAGUACCGUUCAAACAUUUUUGCUUAAUUAAAUAAAAGGAUUAUUACCAGUGAAGCAUUGCUCAACAAAUCAUUCUGAAUAAAAGACACAGUGCCAGGAAGUGACCAUGGGUUAUAUGAUCACAAAGAUUCUUCUUCUCGCCGUUUUAGUGACAACAGGUUGUGCUAGAACACCAGGACGCGCACGGGCGAGCUGUACAGAUCGAUACGUAUGGAUAGCCGAUGGGUCUGUAGAUUGCAAAUAUAUUGUGACAGAAUCUUUCUGGGGGCUUCAUAAAGAUCCUCAACGUUGGUGUGACUAUAUAUUGACGGAUUGCUGUGAAACAUGCACCGAACUUAAGAACCAAAGAGUUAUAGGCUAGAAGAAAGAUCAUUUUGCUGUAAGGAGUUUGAUUUGUGUGUAUAGAACGUGAAAAAAUAAAACAAAAAUGAUU